AGAGUUUGAUCCUGGCUCAGAAUCAACGCUGGCGGCGUGCCUAACACAUGCAAGUCGCACGAGAAAGGGGAGCAAUCCCUGAGUAAAGUGGCGUACGGGUGAGUAACACGUGACUAACCUACCCUUGAGUGGGGAAUAACUGAGGGAAACCUUAGCUAAUACCGCAUAACACCUACGGGUCAAAGGAGCAAUUCGCUCGAGGAGGGGGUCGCGGCCGAUUAGUUAGUUGGCGGGGUAAUGGCCCACCAAGACUGUGAUCGGUAUCCGGCCUGAGAGGGUGCACGGACACACUGGAACUGAAACACGGUCCAGACUCCUACGGGAGGCAGCAGUGGGGAAUUUUGCGCAAUGGGGGAAACCCUGACGCAGCAACGCCGCGUGGAGGAUGAAGUCCUUCGGGACGUAAACUCCUUUCGAUCGGGACGAUAAUGACGGUACCGGAAGAAGAAGCCCCGGCUAACUUCGUGCCAGCAGCCGCGGUAAUACGAGGGGGGCGAGCGUUGUUCGGAAUUAUUGGGCGUAAAGGGUGCGUAGGCGGUUUGGUAAGUCUUAUGUGAAAUCUAUGGGCUCAACUCAUAGACUGCAUGAGAAACUGCCGGGCUGGAGUGUGGGAGAGGUGAGUGGAAUUCCCGGUGUAGCGGUGAAAUGCGCAGAUAUCGGAAGGAACACCUGUGGCGAAAGCGGCUCACUGGACCAUAACUGACGCUGAUGCACGAAAGCUAGGGGAGCAAACAGGAUUAGAUACCCUAGUAGUCC
rnacentral:rRNA from 1 species